rnacentral:tRNA from 6 species
UCUCCGUUCGUCUAUCGGUUAGGACGCCGGCCUUUCACGUCGGAAAGAAGAGUUCAAUUCUCUUACGGAGAACCA